GACGAACGCUGGCGGCGUGCUUAACACAUGCAAGUCGAACGGGAAUUAUUUUAUUGAAACUUCGGUCGAUUUAAUUUAAUCCUAGUGGCGGACGGGUGAGUAACGCGUGGGUAACCUGCCUUAUCCAGGGGGAUAACAGUCAGAAAUGGCUGCUAAUACCGCAUAAGCGCACAGAGCUGCAUGGCUCAGUGUGAAAAACUCCGGUGGUAUAAGAUGGACCCGCGUUGGAUUAGCUGGUUGGUGGGGUAACGGCCCACCAAGGCGACGAUCCAUAGCCGGCCUGAGAGGGUGAACGGCCACAUUGGGACUGAGACACGGCCCAGACUCCUACGGGAGGCAGCAGUGGGGAAUAUUGCACAAUGGGGGAAACCCUGAUGCAGCGACGCCGCGUGAAGGAAGAAGUAUCUCGGUAUGUAAACUUCUAUCAGCAGGGAAGAUAGUGACGGUACCUGACGAAGAAGCCCCGGCUAACUACGUG
rnacentral:rRNA from 1 species